AUUGAACGCUGGCGGCAUGCUUUACACAUGCAAGUCGAACGGUAACAGGGAGCUUGCUCCGCUGACGAGUGGCGAACGGGUGAGUAAUGUAUCGGAACGUACCCAAGAGUGGGGGAUAACGUAGCGAAAGUUACGCUAAUACCGCAUACGAUCUAUGGAUGAAAGUGGGGGACCUUCGGGCCUCAUGCUCCUGGAGCGGCCGAUAUCUGAUUAGCUAGUUGGUGAGGUAAAGGCUCACCAAGGCGACGAUCAGUAGCUGGUCUGAGAGGACGACCAGCCACACUGGGACUGAGACACGGCCCAGACUCCUACGGGAGGCAGCAGUGGGGAAUUUUGGACAAUGGGGGCAACCCUGAUUCAGCAAUGCCGCGUGAGUGAAGAAGGCCUUCGGGUUGUAAAGCUCUUUUGUCAGGGAAGAAACGGUGCGGGCUAAUAUCCCGUGCUAAUGACGGUACCUGAAGAAUAAGCACCGGCUAACUACGUGCCAGCAGCCGCGGUAA
rnacentral:rRNA from 1 species